CUAAAGUAUUAUUUGUGAACUCCAUGAAGAGAGAAGCUGGCUUACUCAAGCACAAAGAUUUACUCUAAAGGGACAUGUUGAAAUAUUAAAGAACUGAACCAAAAGGUAUCCCACAGCUUCAAUUUUAUGUAUGAAAUUUAUGAGUGUGCACCUUCAAAUGAGAUAUAUUGGUCCAGACACAGCAUACCCCAUCAAAGAACUGAGGAUUUCAAGAACCAAAUCAUGACCAGCAACAAAAAAUUAUGAUUUAAGUAACUUACACAGCAUAAAAAUUAAUAAUAACGGGGGUCCUGGUUCUCAAAAUUAAAUUGCCUUUUCAUUUAAUAAUUUGUGGUACCACUUCUAUGAAAAUAAAAUUUAAUUUUUUGAAACUAGAUCCCAGUUACUGUUAACAUUUGUGCUGGGUAAGUUCACCUAGAUCGUGACUUUUUGCUGGAGGUACUGCGGAACUGGAAG